rnacentral:rRNA from 1 species
UACGUAGGGGGCAAGCGUUGUCCGGAUUUAUUGGGCGUAAAGAGCGUGUAGGCGGCCAUACAGGUCAGCUGUGAAAACUCGAGGCUCAACCUCGAGACGUCGGUUGAAACCGUAUGGCUAGAGUCCGGAAGAGGAGAGUGGAAUUCCCGGUGUAGCGGUGAAAUGCGCAGAUAUCAGGAGGAACACCGGUGGCGAAGGCGGGUCUCUGGGCCGAUACUGACGCUGGAGGAGCGAAAGCGUGGGGAGCGAACAGG